rnacentral:rRNA from 1 species
AACGAACGCUGGCGGCAGGCCUAACACAUGCAAGUCGAGCGCUCUCUUCGGAGGGAGCGGCGGACGGGUUAGUAACGCGUGGGAACGUGCCCAGAUCUAAGGAAUAGCCACUGGAAACGGUGAGUAAUACCUUAUACGCCCUUCGGGGGAAAGAUUUAUCGGAUUUGGAUCGGCCCGCGUUAGAUUAGAUAGUUGGUGGGGUAACGGCCUACCAAGUCUACGAUCUAUAGCUGGUUUUAGAGGAUGAUCAGCAACACUGGGACUGAGACACGGCCCAAACUCCUACGGGAGGCAGCAGUGGGGAAUCUUAGACAAUGGGCGCAAGCCUGAUCUAGCCAUGCCGCGUGAGUGAUGAAGGCCUUAGGGUCGUAAAGCUCUUUCGCCUGUGAAGAUAAUGACUGUAGCAGGUAAAGAAACACCGGCUAACUCCGUG